CUUCUCUGGUUCUAAUUCUUCCCAAGACAAGUGCGACCCAAACCCCUGCCUCAACAACGGCGUGUGUGAGGCGAAGAACGGCAAGUUUAAAUGUGACUGUCCCAAACCCUUCAAGGGAAAGAAGUGUCAGAGAGCGGAGAAGAUUUGUAAGAAAAACAGAUGUGGACACGGUCUGUGCGUCCUGACGUCAAAGCCUCCGUACUACGAGUGCAAGUGCAAGGAUCCGUUCCAGCUGCCGAACUGCAGAACAGUGUCGGUGUGCAAGCCCAGCCCCUGUAAAAACGGGGGGUCAUGCAUCCCAGACGAGAAUAAAUUUAAGUGUGCCUGUCCAGACACCUUCAGCGGAAAGUUCUGUCAUGUUGGGCCGGAUGACUGUUACAAGGACAAUGGGGAGUCCUAU